UGUCAGAUUAUUUCCUCUGGCCACCAUAAACAAUCAAAGACUAUCUUCAGUUUGAGAUAGGAACAGUGUUUGAUCUGAUUCUGCACUUGGCCAAAAUUUUCAAUCCAGUUCAAGACCAAGUCUUUGGACAGUCUAUGAAAUCAUUAUCAGCACUCCUCAGAAACAUCAGAGUCAUGGAAAACAAAGAAAGACUGAGCAAGCAUCAAAGGAAACUAGGGAGAGGGAGCAACCCAAAUACAUGUGAUACUGUGAAUUGGAUCCUGGAACAGAAAAAAAAAAGGUAUUUAUGGAAGCAGGAAUGAAAUUUAGAUAAAGUCUGGGGCUUAGUGAAUACAAGCAGCAUACCAGUAUUGGUUUCUUAGUAUUGGUAAAUAUGCGAUAGCAAUAUGGGACUAUACCAUUGGGAG